ACUACGGGUGGCAGCAGUGGGGGAUAUUGCACAAUGGGGGAAACCCUGAUGCAGCGACGCCGCGUGUGGGAAGACGGUCCUCUGGAUUGUAAACCACUGUCCCCAGGGACGAAGAUGACGGUACCUGGGGAGGAAGCUCCGGCUAACUACGUGCCAGCAGCCGCGGUAAUACGUAGGGAGCGAGCGUUGUCCGGAAUUACUGGGGGUAAAGGGAGCGUAGGCGGGACUGCAAGUUGGGUGUCAAAUCUACCGGCUCAACCGGUAGCCGCACUCAAAACUGCAGUUCUUGAGUGAAGUAGAGGCAGGCGGAAUUCCUAGUGUAGCGGUGAAAUGCGUAGAUAUUAGGAGGAACACCAGUGGCGAAGGCGGCCUGCUGGGCUUUUACUGACGCUGAGGCUCGAAAGUGUGGGGAGCAAACAGGAUUAGAUACCCCGGUAGUC
rnacentral:rRNA from 1 species